AUUGAACGCUGGCGGCAUGCCUUACACAUGCAAGUCGAACGGUAACAGGUCUUCGGAUGCUGACGAGUGGCGAACGGGUGAGUAAUACAUCGGAACGUGCCCGAGAGUGGGGGAUAACGAGGCGAAAGCUUUGCUAAUACCGCAUACGAUCUCAGGAUGAAAGCAGGGGACCGCAAGGCCUUGCGCUCACGGAGCGGCCGAUGGCAGCUUAGGUAGUUGGUGGGAUAAAAGCUUACCAAGCCGACGAUCUGUAGCUGGUCUGAGAGGACGACCAGCCACACUGGGACUGAGACACGGCCCAGACUCCUACGGGAGGCAGCAGUGGGGAAUUUUGGACAAUGGGCGCAAGCCUGAUCCAGCCAUGCCGCGUGCAGGAUGAAGGCCUUCGGGUUGUAAACUGCUUUUGUACGGAACGAAAAGACUCUGGUUAAUACCUGGGGUCCAUGACGGUACCGUAAGAAUAAGCACAGGCUAACUACGUGCCAGCCGCCGCGGUAAAAC
rnacentral:rRNA from 1 species